rnacentral:rRNA from 1 species
UACGUAGGGGGCAAGCGUUGUCCGGAUUUAUUGGGCGUAAAGAGCGUGUAGGCGGCCAUACAGGUCCGUUGUGAAAACUGGAGGCUUAACCUCCAGACGUCGAUGGAAACCGUAUGGCUAGAGUCCGGAAGAGGAGAUUGGAAUUCCCGGUGUAGCGGUGAAAUGUGUAGAGAUCGGGAGGAACACCGGUGGCGAAGGCGGGUCUCUGGGCAUCUCCUGACGCUGAGGCGCGAAAGCGUGGGGAGCAAACGGG